AGGGAAUAUUGGACAAUGGGGGCAACCCUGAUCCAGCCAUGCCGCGUGAGUGAAGAAGGCCCUCGGGUUGUAAAGCUCUUUUGUCCGGAAAGAAAAGCUUCGGGUUAAUACCCCGGGGUUCUGACGGUACCGGAAGAAUAAGCACCGGCUAACUUCGUGCCAGCAGCCGCGGUAAUACGAAGGGUGCAAGCGUUACUCGGAAUUACUGGGCGUAAAGCGUGCGUAGGUGGUUGUUUAAGUCUGAUGUGAAAGCCCUGGGCUCAACGUGGGAAGGGCAUUGGGAACUGGGCAACUAGAGUGCGGUAGGUGGUAGUGGAAUUCCCGUUGUAGCAGUGAAAUGCGUAGAGAUCGGGAGGAACAUCUGUGGCGAAGGCGACUGCCUGGACCAGCACUGACACUGAGGCACGAAAGCGUGGGGAGCAAACA
rnacentral:rRNA from 1 species